rnacentral:rRNA from 1 species
CACCUGUUCCCAUGCCGAACACAGAAGUUAAGCUCCUUAGCGCCGAUGGUAGUCGGACUGACGUUCCGCUAGAGUAGGACGUUGCCAGGCA